CUUUUACAUAUCCUAUUAAAUUAUUAUUAAAUAAUUUAAAUUUUCCCAAUAUUUUUUAUAUCUGUUUAUUAUUAAUUAUUCCUACUUUUGAAAGAAUUUUUUUAACUUAUAAAAUUAAAAAUAUAAAACUUAAGUUCCAAUCCUUUUGCUAUUUAAAUAUAGUAAGUCACAUAACCGAUAUAAUCGGCUUGUAUUUUUAUAUUACUAAUUUUAAUGAUGAUUCUUAUACCACUUCGAUUUUAUUCAGUACUUUUGUUAGUAUUAUAUUAAUGUCCUUAAGGAUUAUUUUUUUUCUUAAAAGGCUGAAUUAUAUUGGCUUCUUGUUUUUAGAAACUAUAUUAAAAUCGCUCCAUAAAACCUUUUUUUAUAUGCCUAUUUAUAUACUGGUUACUAAGAAAUAUAUAAAAAAUAUCCACAAUUUGAUGUGUUCCUUUUAUUCGAGUAUCCUUGAUGCGAGUUCUUUUGCUGCUUACUAUUUUGAAUAUUUAAUAUUAAGCUAUUUUAGUAUAGAUAGCUCAGAAAAUGUUUUUAUAUUGGUGUAUGUAAUAUUUUUAAUAUUACAUUUAUUAUCAUUAGUCAUUAUUUUGAAAUUAAAGAAGACAUAACAUUCUGUGUUAUGGUAUAAAAAACUUACACGAGUUUUUUUUUUUUUUUUUUUUUUUUCUUUCGUUUUGUUUUUGUUAAUGCCGCUUUGGUUAAUACCGUUUUAGUUAAUGUUUUUGUUAGCAUUUUUGUUUUUUUUUUCUUUGUUUUUCCUUUUGUUAACGUUUCUGUUAGCACUUUUAUGUUUUUAUUUGUUUUUCCUUUUGUUGACGUUUUUGUUUUUAUUAUCACCCCUCUCCUUACUCGAUCUUCAUUUGUGCUGACCUCUUCUUGUUUUUUGUUUAAACAUCUAUUACUAUAAAUAACAAAACCGAAUUAUAAAAUGACUAUGUCUCUGAAUAUAUAAUUCGCUGUAUGCAACAGAAGUAAAUUUUAUGCCAAUAACAUAUAAAAUUUAAAUUUUUUAUUAAUGUAACUUUUUUUUUUUUUUUAUAUAUUUUUUUUUUUUUGGGGGGGGGAGGCUGAUAAGAAACAACAAGUACGUGCAUGUGUUCUAACGUGUAUGUAUCCAUACAUGUAUUUACUGCUCACACAACUUUACCCUCUUUUAUCUAUUUGUAAUAUCUGCAUAUGUUUUUACUUGUUCAUAUAAUAUGUCAUUUUUUUCAAUUAAGUGUUUUUUUUUGUUAAUACAUUCAAAAAGUAAUUUUAUAUUUUCAUUUACUUGAUAUUUUUUAUGCUCAUCAUAUAAAAAGUUUAUAUAAAUAAAAGUCAAUUUUAAUAUAGAAUAGAUAUCUAA
rnacentral:lncRNA from 1 species